rnacentral:rRNA from 1 species
AGAGUUUGAUCCUGGCUCAGAUUGAACGCUGGCGGCAUGCCUUACACAUGCAAGUCGAACGGCAGCGCGGGGCAACCUGGCGGGGAGUAGCGAACGGGUGAGUAAUAUAUCGGAACGUACCCUGGAGUGGGGGAUAACGUAGCGAAAGUUACGCUAAUACCGCAUACGAUCUAAGGAUGAAAGUGGGGGAUCGCAAGACCUCAUGCUCCUGGAGCGGCCGAUAUCUGAUUAGCUAGUUGGCGGGGUAAAAGCCCACCAAGGCAACGAUCAGUAGCUGGUCUGAGAGGACGACCAGCCACACUGGAACUGAGACACGGUCCAGACUCCUACGGGAGGCAGCAGUGGGGAAUUUUGGACAAUGGGCGCAAG